UACGGAGGAUCCAAGCGUUAUCCGGAUUUAUUGGGUUUAAAGGGUGCGUAGGUGGUUUUUUAAGUCAGGGGUGAAAGACGGCAGCUUAACUGUCGCAGUGCCUUUGAUACUGAAGAACUUGAAUUAACUAGAGGUAGGCGGAAUGUGACAAGUAGCGGUGAAAAUGCAUAGAUAUGUCACAGAACACCAAUUGCGAAGGCAGCUUACUAUGGUUAUAUUGACACUGAGGCACGAAAGCGUGGGGAUCAAACAGG
rnacentral:rRNA from 1 species